rnacentral:rRNA from 1 species
UACGUAGGGUGCAAGCGUUAUCCGGAAUUAUUGGGCGUAAAGCGAUCACAGGUGGACAAGUAGGUCCGGUGUUAAAUACCCACGGCUUAACCGGGGUGCUGCAUUGGAAACCCCUUGACUAGAGGAAGGCAAAGGCAGGUGGAAUUUCCAUUGUAGGGGUUAAAUCCGUAGAUAAUGGAAGGAACACCAAAAGCGAAGGCAGCCUGCUGGGCCUUUCCUGACACUGCUUGAUCGAAAGCGUGGGGAGCAAAAGGG